CAAAAAUACAGAGUUGCACCCCGGUGUUUACAGCAGUGUGAACAAUAGCCAAACUACGCACCGGGCCACCAUGUCCAUCAACUGAGGAAGGGAUAAAGAAGAUGCGGAUGUAUACAUACACAGACUAUACAGGGGAAUAUCACUCAGCCAUCGAAAAGAAUGAAAUCUUGCCAUCUGCAGUGACGGAGCUAGAGUAUACGAUGUGAAGCAAAGUGAUGUGGUAUCUAGAAUUUAAAGUACUCCAGCACAACCCCAAGCAGUCAGUGAGGAGGAACAGGCAAGACAAGAGUGACAGCAUCAACUCUUCUCCCUGCCCAGCAUGCCAUUCUGUGAGCUUCUGGAACACAGAGACCACGUCUGUCACACUUGGAUCCCUGGAAUCUAGACACCACAAAACAAGCUAAGAUGGUGAUCAAGACGAUGGGGGAAUACAGAUUCCUUUGCCAAAGACACCCUGCCACGUUUCUUUAUCCCAUCAUCUCCUUCAAUCCUUGCCAUCAUGCGUGAAAAUGCUCUAGAUUAUCACUGCUUUAUAGACUUUUAAAAAUUGAGGCUCAAUGAGGUAAAGUGACUUUACCCAAGGUCACACGGCUAGUGCACUAAGCCGGUGCUUAGUACAAAGAUUUGAGCCAAGGUCUGACUCAAAAGCCAUUCUGCUCAGCACCUUGGGGGCAAGUGAAUAUACCACUGACCACAAAAAGCAACCUCACCGUUGUAUGUAACAAAAGUGACCUUUUCCAACGCAGGAGGCCUACACGCAAGGCACUGAGCACAGACCACAAUCUGCCCUCCAAAAUAUCAACUCUUCCCUUCCGCAGUCUGUCUGGGGUGACGAGGUACCCUAUUAAAAACAAGUAUUUUUCACCAUCCCUAACAGAAAUAGUUCAAGCCACUUAAAUAUAAGAAACUUUUCUGAGUGGUGGGUGACCUCCUUAAAACAAGUCAGAACGGUUUUGUUUUUUUCCCCCUUCCCCUGCUUCAUCCUUCCUGCUGCACAGAAUGCAGAUGUAACGGCUAGGGAUCCAGCAGCCUUCUUAGACCAUGACAGGACCUUAGAAAGGUAAGCCAAACUCAGCAGAGCAAUAUAAAGGAAACUGAUACCCACUUGCUCUUUCAAGAAAUUUCUGGGCUCUAUCACGUGCCAGGCUUUGUGCAGGCCCCUAAGAAAGAUCAGUCAACAAAGGAGACCAAGGUCCCUGCCCUCACGAGGCUUGCAACUUAAGGAAAAAAAAGGAGCCAGACUGCACAUCGUAACAGGGCUAAGGGGGAAAAAAAAGCAAGUAAGGGGGACUGAGAAGACAGGGAAGGAGAGGGAUCCCACUGGGAAAUUUGACAGACAAAUGUUUUUAGUCCAUGAAGAGAAAAACACGAUCCCAAAAGACGCCCUUAACUUAGCGCUUGGUGAAGCCCCCUGGGUCCACCGUCGAGUGGAGAGGAGGUGUAGAGGCCACGUGUGGUUUCAGCCCCACGAGGCAGCAGCAACAAGGCGCAACCGGACUGAAAGGCCAACCUCUUUCCACUCUAGGUAAUCAUUUACAACGUGCCUUUUCAGCAUGGUUCACGAUGGAGUUUUUAUUAAAGCUCAGGAGGUGGUGUUCCGGGACCCCCGCCCUCCAACUGCGCGGCCCUGCUCUCCAUGAGGCUGCAUUUGGAGCGCUGGAGACAGACCAUGUUCGAAGAAAUAGUUCUCCCGCUUGAAAGGUUUCUGCGAGGGUCGUUGGGCCACAGGAGCCGUGUGGCGGGAGGGGAGCGUCUCACGCGUCUGUACGUUGUGUCUGGGACCCAGCACGAACUCAGGUGACUGAGCAAAUAAGCUCCGCCACCUUCCACAAGCCCUCGACUUGACGGCUGUCGCUCUUUAAACCGCAUUCCUGCCGCUGCCAAGAAUAUCUCCCCUCUGCUGAGCUUCCUGUUGUUCCCCUCCCCGGCUCCAAAAUAACAAGGCGCUGCUUGGCAGUGAUGUCACUGUCCCUGUCACCGCCUGCAGGGCAUCCACAUGCCAGCUAUAUUUAAGACCCAGGCUUCACGCGCGGGGACAUGGAAAUUGCCACCUCGUGAACCAUACCGGAAAGGCAAGGCUUGAAAAUUUCUCUACGGAUAACCAGGUUACAAACUCUGCCUCUCCCCAGGCAAACAGGCCAGGGUGUUCAACUGAGCACCAGGCUCCAGGUUCUGGGGUCAGCCAGGUCCGACUGGGGCCUUUCAACCACUUCCCUCGAGUAGCAAAGACACUGACACUCGCUCGGGGGAGCCGCUCUCUCUUCCGAUUGUUCUCCCUUCCCCGGCUCUGCUUCGGUUUCCCCUCAAAACCCUUCUGUUAUUUUUAUUGACUCCUCCAGACUUCUCUACUGACUUCUCAUUAGAAAAUACAGCAAAUGGAACGUUAAUGAACGGUAAACGCGUUCCCCUCCUCCAUGGAUAAUCAUCGUGACCUUUUAAUCAGAGUUCUAUCACAGUUACUGGUUUGGGUAAUUUUUUUUUAUCUCCCGCUACUGUGCUCUGAUGGGGAAAGUGAUGGGCUGCAACAAUGUUUCAGACACAACCUUCUCCCCGUUCCCUUGGCAGCUGCGGAUUUUUUCUGCAUCUUGAUGAACCGCCCAAAUCCAUGUUUGGUGCACAUUUUGCGGGGAACAUCUGGCACCAACCGCUAAUGGCGCUAACGCCUAGCCGUUCGACGUGGGCACGUGCUGCAAAAUGCAGCUGUUCGUGCAAAUAUACCUUGCUGCUUCCUCCCCCUAAAAAUUUUAGUUCAUCAACAAAACCGGAGUCUUUGAUUGGGUUCUAGAAGCUUUAGAGAAAAUAAACAAGCACAUGGCUUUCUCCCUUGUACGUGAUUUUGCUCUAACAGAUGCCACGAUGCUCCAGUUCCUCUCUUCCGGUCCCUGAUUUUCAUACGGAAAAAGUGUCUAGGAAACUCACAUGGGUCAUGGCAUUGUGAAAGGAGGGUGAAAGAACCUUUAGGACCGUCCACCUCGCACGGUGUUUGAGAAGGUUGUCUCAUCAUUUUUGGUUCAGGUGUUAACACGUUUGGCUUCUUCAUUUUUCUGUCUGGGGAAAGGAUGAUCCCCAUGUCUCUACUUCCUAAAGAAAAACCAGCUGGAAAAUCAUCCGUGCCAAACACACCUUCAACUUCUGCACUCUGAGAAGCAGGAGCUGAGGGGAGAAGGUUACUAAACCGACUGAAGCUCUCUGGGUGGCUCCUCCUGCCUCACCCUGGAGCCAGAGCAACCCAGGACUGGGGCCAUUAACACAUUCCUAUCCUUUGCCCAGCGAUCCUUUUCCUGCCCAUACACACAGAGGAAAGAUGUUGAGAGAGGCGAAAACAAGUGAGACACGAGGCUAUAAUCUCAGAAAACCAGAAGCAGCCGAACACUGGCCCAUGUGGAAACCACUUGGUCAGAUAUGGCGGCCUCCUUCACAGCCUUCACAGAGGACAAAGAGGCAGGCCCUCCACCUAUCACCAAGGGGCUAUCAGGUGACACCUCUUUCCCGGGAAGGACUUUGGCCCUAUGGAGCAAGGGCCUUUACAGAUACCUUCUAACAUCGAAACUCAGCUUCUAGAAGUCUAGAUUAAGGACGUUAGAGAGCUUUACCAAAAAAUACAUUAGUAGAAAUCCUACUCCGACAGUGGAGGGGGGUGGUGUGGGUGUUGGAAAAGAGUGGAGAGAAUGGUUAAGGAAAUAGUGUGAGAAACAAGGCCAAAGCCAAACAGACUUCCACACGGCCUCUGAAAGGGAUGCCCACAGAAGUGAACAGCGUGAGGAAACCUGCAUGAUGGGAUGCCUAAUUGCUUUUCAAAGCAGACCAACUUGCAGAUUCAGAAUGAUCUGAAUUAUGUAAAAUGAAUACAUACAUAAGAUGAAUUGGGAUAAAGGGCCUCAUCAGUAAUAAAUAAAAGACAUGAACGGUAAUUGCGUCCAGAGGAUUUUCUUCUUUAAACCUCUCUUAGUCUCAGACUUAAGGACUACAAUUUGUACAUUUUUAUAUUCUUGGGGGAGGGGGAGAUCUCUAAACAUAAUUUGAAGUCUACAGAGGAGCGCAAGAAAAUGUUAUUUAAAAAUGCACGCACACACUGAUGGUGGUAGAACCAGGUACAAAUCGUACUGAAAUGGACUAAGUGGGGAGAACAUCGUUAGGCUGGUGUUGGGAGAUUUGGGAUGCUUUCUUCCAUUUCAGCAUAUGGUACUUUUACAAUUUAAAGGUGAUUUAAAAAAAAAAAAAAAGCAUGGAAACCAGAGCUUUCUCAAGAACUCUCCAGCUGCCUAGUCACGGCAGAAUCCUGCCCUGGCAUCCCACCUGCGUGCAUCUGAACAUGAAAGCAUCCAAUUCCACAUCAAAGGAGCAAAUCAAGCCACAGGAUGCUGGGCUCAUGCUAAAAGCUCAAAUGCAGAUCCUUCAAAACCCACCAAAAGCAAACCUACAUGGUAUCCUCAUCAUUAGCUUAAAAAUAAAAGCAAAAGCAAAAAUGGCAAAUGGGAAUGGUAAAUCAUUCUUGUAGUGGAUCAAAGUAUUCUAGUUUUCAAACUGCAAACAAGAGGUGCCUGGGUGGCUCAGUCAGUUGAGCGGCCGACUUCAGCUCAGGUCACGAAAUCACGGUUCGUGAGUUCGAGCCUCGCAUGCGGCUCUGGGCUGAUAGCUCAGAGCCUGGAGCCUGCUUUGGAUUCUGUGUCUCCUUCUGUCUCCCCCUGCCCCUCCCCAACCCCUGCUCUGUCUCUCUCUCACUCUCUCUCUCAAAAUUAAAUAAACAUUAAAAAAAAAAACCUGCAAACAAAACUAACUCCCGCCUUGGCACUGAAAGAAACAAAAAAAAACAA